GCCUUGAGGGAUAGGCUUAGCUAGUAGAGCAUGGGACUCUUAAUCUCAGAGUCAUGGGUUUGAGCCCCAUGUUUGGUG